GACGAACGCUGGCGGCGUGCUUAACACAUGCAAGUCGAACGGAAAGGCCCUGCUUUUGUGGGGUGCUCGAGUGGCGAACGGGUGAGUAACACGUGAGUAACCUGCCCUUGACUUUGGGAUAACUUCAGGAAACUGGGGCUAAUACCGGAUAGGAGCUCCUGCUGCAUGGUGGGGGUUGGAAAGUUUCGGCGGUUGGGGAUGGACUUGCGGCUUAUCAGCUUGUUGGUGGGGUAGUUGCUUACCAAGGCUUUUACGGGUAGCCGGCCUGAGAGGGUGACCGGACACAUUGGGACUGAGAUACGGCCCAGACUCCUACGGGAGGCAGCAGUGGGGAAUAUUGCACAAUGGGCGGAAGCCUGAUGCAGCAACGCCGCGUGCGGGAUGACGGCCUUCGGGUUGUAAACCGCUUUCGCCUGUGACGAAGCGUGAGUGACGGUAAUGGGUAAAGAAGCACCGGCUAACUACGUG
rnacentral:rRNA from 1 species